GACUGGGGCGGUCGCCUCCUAAAGCGUAACGGAGGCGCGCGAAGGUUGGCUCAGAGCGGUCGGAAAUCGCUCGUUGAGUGCAAUGGCAGAAGCCAGCCUGACUGCGAGACUGACAAGUCGAGCAGAGUCGAAAGACGGCCAUAGUGAUCCGGUGGUCCCGAGUGGAAGGGCCAUCGCUCAACGGAUAAAAGGUACUCCGGGGAUAACAGGCUGAUCUCCCCCAAGAGCUCA
rnacentral:rRNA from 1 species